rnacentral:rRNA from 1 species
CAAUAGCGUAUAUUUAAGUUGUUGCAGUUAAAAAGCUCGUAGUUGGAUUUCGGGUGUGAACGACCGGUCCGUCUUUGAUGUGUACUGGUUGGUUGCGCCUUAUUGUCGAGGACGUGGUUCUAGCUUUCAUUAGCCGGGACACGGAGUCGGCAGCGUUACUUUGAGAAAAUUAGAGUGUUCAAAGCAGGCUAUCGCUCUGAAUACUACAGCAUGGAAUAACACGAUAGGACUCCGAGCCUAUUCUGUUGGUCUUCGGGACCGGAGUAAUGAUUAAGAGGGACAGUUGGGGGCAUUCGUAUUCCGAUGUCAGAGGUGAAAUUCUUGGAUUAUCGGAAGACGAGCAUCUGCGAAAGCAUUUGCCAAGGAUGUUUUCAUUGA